UUUUUAAAUAUAAAUUAUGCCAAAUGUAGAAGAAAUUGGGGCAAAUAAAAAUAUACUGCGCCUAAACUCAUAACAGUUUUUUUUUUUACUGUUUUGGGUUCAUGAGAUCUCAAAUUGAAGAUUUGCAAAAAAACUCGAAGGAUUGAAUUUGGCACGAUUCCAAUUCUUUUCCAUGUUACAUACAUAAUAAGUCGAGAAAAUAAAAGCAUUACAUAUUAACGACAUCUGCUGGGCAUCUCGUGCAUAACUAAAGAGGUUACAAUCAGCCUUAAGCACAUUUUACACACAAUUCGAGGCUGGUUUAAAUAUUUUUACAAAUAAACUAAUUUUUACUUCAACGUUCUUCUAGUUUUGUAUUGAAUAUCAUAAUUAACAUUUUAAAUAUAUAUAUUUCUAAUGAUUAAUUUUCUAUUUGAACAUCAUAUUAUUUAUAUACAGUAUAAAAUAGUUCACCAAGAACGUUACAACACAGACUUAUUGUAGUUUCGCUUUGUCCAGAAACAAUAUACAUAUAUAAAUAGCUUUCAUAAAUAUGCAUUUUAUAUAUACAGAUAUAUGCAAAAUUAAUGUACAGGCAAUUUAGCUGUAAAUCAAUUGUUCAGAAAACUUGUCUGUCCGGUUGUUUCUGAAGGAUAUCAGGCAGCAACGCCCAUUUUCACUUGUAGAAAAAUUUAAAAUUAAUUAUUUCCAUCAACAAAGCCGCAGAUACAGUAAAGUUUCGUACGCGGAUAUUCUUAUUUUAUACAGAAAUUGACCGAUGGCUGAAAUAUACGCGCUAAACUGUAGGUUUGAACGUUUCAUGGAGUGUGGACAUAUUAGAGGCAGAUUUACUCAGGAGUAUGGUAAAGCAUUUCCAAGUAACGAAAAAGAACUGAAGAGACAAUGCGAAUUAUUCGAGGAAAUGAGAAACUGUGUAUAAUUUUAGUCAAAACUGUAUGACUAAUAUGGAUAGAAUAGUGGGGGAUUCUAUGGUUUCCGCAGCUGCACAGAAAAUGAAGAAUUGUUGCAACCCAGAAAAGCAAUUAUUCAAAGGUAUGACAUUUAAAUAGAUUUUUAAGAUAAAAAUUAGCGACGCAAAUAAACACUUUUAUAUUUCUAAUAUAGAGUAUUUAAAAGAAACCGUGUGUAUAAACGAUAAUUAUGAAACUGCUAAAUUAUGCUUCAAGGACAACCUGGAUUCUGUAGUUUCUAUGUACAAAAAUACAUCGAAAAAUAAAUUGCUCAUUUAUUGUUGUGGAAUAAAUCGAUUGAGAAAAUGCAUCAACGAUCACUAUGAAGAUAAAUGCAACAAGAAGGCAGCUUCACUAAUGGAAGAUCAGCUGGAAAUGAUAUUUUCUGAAUGGACUUUCGCAAUAUGUGAUCCUUAUUUAGAAGUUAUAAAAGAUUGCCCACCAAAACCCAUGUUAACUGAUCGGGAUAAAUACAAACAUUAUUACUACAUUCGUUACCUGUGGCCUUUCUCUGAGCUUAAUUAAUAAAAUAUACUCUUUUAUUGACA
rnacentral:misc_RNA from 1 species